rnacentral:sRNA from 2 species
GAAAUGGAUGGCUAGGGUUCCGGCUCGCGUUGCGGGCGUCUGGUCCGAGAGCCAUCGACCUCCAGCGAGGUUACACGGCGGGACAAAAGCCCGGGAGAA